GCAGACAGAAACCACUGAGAUUAAGCCCCUGCUUUUAAAAACAGGCUCAUGUGGGCAGGGCCCCAGCAAUGCUACCUUCAGGAGACUUUGAUUAGUGGCCACAAGCAGUACCACAGUUCCUUCAGAAGAUAAAAACCUUAGAGAUCCUCUAGUCUAAACCUACCCAUUUCACAGGGAGGAACCCGAGACCCCGGGAAACAGGUGCUGAUGGACGAUGAAGAGGCCUGCAAAGGCAUCUAGCCCUUCAGCUUUGUGCUUUGUGCUUUGGGACUAACACCCAGAGGCCUGUGGUGGUGUUUUGGUAAAUGACACCAGUCACUCCCACUGGCUCAGACUGACCAAUUAGAAAUAGCUAUCUCCUCUUGCCAGCAUGGAAAGUUAACAGACAUGCAACAGAUUUAUUUCAUUUCAGAUGGAAUAUAUCAUAAACUAUUAGACUAUCCACUAUGGUUUGUAUACAGACAGAUAAAUAUUUAGGGUGGGGCUAUCUAGAAGCACAAGUGUGGAUAUAAGAACUGCAGGAAGGCCUCUACAUUGAAUCUGACUCCCUGAAUGAAUAGUGACAAAGUGCUGCUAAUAGCAUUUUGAAGGGUACUUGAAAUCAAGGAAGGGUUUCAGAUGUGUCCAUUUUUAUUUAAAAUUAUUUUGACAAAGAUAGAAAUGUGUAGUGGAAAAAAAUAAAAUUAAAAAAAUGUGUAGUGGGAAAAAAAAAGUCUCAUAUGCAGCCAGAGAAAGAAGCAUAGUUAAUAUUUCGUGAGAAAGGGAGAAGGAAAUCAUGUUAAAUACAGUUAUUCUGGCUUUUUUCAUUUCUUUAUUUUUAAACUUCUUUGGAGGCUUAAACAAAUGAAUUCACUCUUUUUUUUUUUAAAGUAGACUCCGUGCCAAAUGUGGGGCUUGAACUAAAGACUCUGAGAUUAAGAGUCACAUGCUCUACCAACUGAGCCAGCCAGCUUCCUCUAAACAAAUAAGUAAAAAUACACAGACCAAAUGUUUACUGGAUAUCAAUUGCCUAUGAUCAAUGAGGAAUCAUAUUAUUACUAACAGAUAACUGACAGCUUAUAGUCACGCAGUCCUGAGUAAUUGCAAGGUUCUUGGUCACAGCUCCUAAUGCUCACUGAUGUCUCCAACAGGUGUGGGGUCCUACUGGUGCUGGUUUGCUGGUCAUGACCAAGAUCAUUUUCUCAGCUUGCCCACAGUGCUGCUUCUUGAAAUUCUUAAGCCCCAGGGAACUCUUCCACACCCUCUAACUUCCUGUAACUGAGCUCUAGGGUCUGGCACAUCUCUACCUAGCACUCCUCUUACUGUAAUAUAUUUAAGUUAGUGUUUCCACUGCAUUGCAAAAUCCUUGAAGGCAGGGAAAGGCUGCACUCUUCUGUUGUUUUGUUUUGUUUUGUUUUAUCCCCCACAGGGCUUUCAUAUAGCCUUGAUGGAACUCAAAAUAUCUGUUGGGAUCAUACUGAAAUUUUCAGCCUCUUUGUUCCUUAUCAAGUCUACUCAGAUACAACCACAACAGUAAAAUUGCAACAACAUAGAGAGAAGUCAGUGGGUGCUCAUUAUAAAGCACAGAAAACAAAUUAGGUUAAAGCACAAUUAUUAAUACCAUACAGACGAAUCAUGGCCUGUACUAUUAUUAAUAACUGUAGCAAUAAUAUCUAACUGUAAGCAAUCGCUCUACACUAUUGGUCACUGCAGAUCAUUCUUGGCUUUCUAAUGUGAACAACAUUGCAGCUCAAGGCUGAUGUAGACUAGAGUUCCCAUUGCAUCAGAAUAGCACAGUAGUUCAAUAAUUUUGUCCCGAGAAGACAGAGAUGCAGAACAAAAAAGAAGUGAACGAACAAGUCAGCCUUUCCAUUCUCCACGUCCUUUCUUUCCCAUUUUGCCAAUCUGAUUUCACUCAAAGUGACUCAUGGUGCAACAGAAAACAUGAAAAUUGCCUUCAGAUGUGCAGAGGUUAGUAACUACUUAGUUUUCAAAACCAGCUCAUCUUCCAGUAACACUAUAGUUGCCUUCCAUUCCAUUUCACUUAGCUCGGCAUCUGAACAGCUGCAAAAAAAAAAAAAAAAAAAAAAAAAAA
rnacentral:lncRNA from 1 species